rnacentral:rRNA from 1 species
AAAUUUGGUGGUCAAGUUAUUAAGGGUAUAUGGUGGAUGCCUAGGCGCCAAUAGGCGAUGAAGGACGCG